CCUACGGGGGGCAGCAGUGAGGAAUAUUGGUCAAUGGACGCAAGUCUGAACCAGCCAUGUCGCGUGCAGGAAGACGGCCCUAUGAGUUGUAAACUGCUUUUGUACAAGGGUAAACCUGAAUACGUGUAUUCAGCUGUAUGUACUUUACGAAUAAGGAUCGGCUAACUCCGUGCCAGCAGCCGCGGUAAUACGGAGGAUCCAAGCGUUAUCCGGAUUUAUUGGGUUUAAAGGGUGCGUAGGCGGAUUGGUAAGUUAGAGGUGAAAUGUCCAAGCUUAACUCGGGAACUGCCUUUAAUACUGUUGAUCUAGAGAGUAGAUGAGGUAGGCGGAAUGUAUGGUGUAGCGGUGAAAUGCUUAGAGAUCAUACAGAACACCGAUUGCGAAGGCAGCUUACCAAUCUAUAACUGACGUUGAGGCACGAAAGCGUGGGGAGCAAACAGGAUUAGAUACCCUUGUAGUC
rnacentral:rRNA from 1 species